GGGGCAGAUUGGGCAAUCGCGGUGCCCUCGGGCAUCGAGGAAGGUCCGGACUCCACAGGACAGGAUAGCGGCUAACAGCCGUCCGGUGAACCCUUAGGGGUAAGCCGAGGACCAGGGCCACAGAGACGAGUCUGCCAUGGGGGUGUGCCUUUGGUACACACAGAUACGGCGACUUCCGUAUUGCAUGAGGGUUUUGCCCUCGUGUCAUGGCAGGGUGAAACGCGGUAACCUCUAUCCGGAGCAACAUCAAAUAGGCAUGCGUAGGCGUUUAGCCAGGAGGGCGGUCCGCUCGAGCAUGCGGGUAGAUGGCUAGAGCAUGCCAGUAAUGGCAUGACCAGAGGAAUGAUUGCCCGCCGGGGUUUCUCCGGUGUACAGAAUCCGGCCUAUAGAUCUGUCUCGCAC
rnacentral:RNase_P_RNA from 1 species